CCUACGGGUGGCAGCAGUCGAGAAUCAUUCACAAUGGGGGAAACCCUGAUGGAGCGACGCCGCGUGGGGGAAUGAAGGUCUUCGGAUUGUACACCCCUGUCAUGUGGGAGCAACUUAUAAAGAUAGUACCAUAAGAGGAAGAGACUGCUAAAUCUGUGCCAGCAGCCGCGGUAAUACAGAGGUCUCAAGCGUUGUUCGGAAUCACUUGGCGUAAAGGGUGAGUUGGCUGUUUGGUAAGUCGUGUGUGAAAGCGGCGGGCUUAACCCGCGGACGGCACAUGCUACUGUGAGACUAGAGUACUGGAGAGGGAAGCGGAAUUCUUGGUGUAGCAGUGAAAUGCGUAGAUAUAGAGAAGAACACCCGUGGCGAAGGCAGCUUGCUGGAGCGGAACUGACGCUGAUGCUCGAAAGCGCGGGUAGCGAACAGGAUUAGAUACCCCUGUAGUC
rnacentral:rRNA from 1 species